GAUGAAGAACGCAGUGAAAUGCGAUACGUAAUGUGAAUUGCAGAAUUCAGUGAAUCAUCGAAUCUUUGAACGCACAUUGCGCCCGCCAGCACUCUGGCGGGCAUGCCUGUUCGAGCGUCAUUUCAACCAUCAAGCCCCAGGCUUGCGUUGGAGCCCUGCGGCUGCCGCAGCCUCCUAAAAGCAGUGGCGGGCUCGCUAUCACACCGAGUGCAGUAGAUUACUCUUCGCUCAGGGCGUGCAGCGGGUUCCGGCCGUGAAACCCCCUACUUUUAAAGGUUGACCUCGGAUCAGGUAGGAAUCCCCGCUGAACUUAAGCAUAUCAAUAAGCGGAGGA
rnacentral:misc_RNA from 1 species